AACUUUCGGCAACGGAUCACUAGGCUCUCGCAACGAUGAAGAACGCAGCGAAAUGCGAUAAGUAAUGUGAAUUGCUUCUCCGUGAAUCAUCAAAUCUUUGAACGCACAUUGCACUCAUUGGUAAUCCGAUGAGUAUAUCUGUUUGAGAAUCAGUUUAACAUCAAUGUUCUGCUUUAUUGCAAUAGCAUUGGAUUUGGGACUCAUUGAUUUUAUCAAGGGACCUUGAAUAUAUUUGUUAUGAUUUUAUUCAUCAUGGCGAGACCAAUGAAGAAAUUCUUUUUAUUGCUCUUGAUGUUUAUUUUGUACAAACUUUAAUCACGAGGUAGAAAUACCUUAAGACUUGAUCUCAAAUCAGAUAAGACUACCCGCUGAACUUAAGCAUAUCAAUAAGCGGAGGCU
rnacentral:misc_RNA from 1 species